rnacentral:rRNA from 1 species
ACGAACGCUGGCGGCGUGCCUAAUACAUGCAAGUCGAACGCUUCUUUUUCCAUCGGAGCUUGCUCCACCGGAAAAAGAGGAGUGGCGAACGGGUGAGUAACACGUGGGUAACCUGCCCAUCAGAAGGGGAUAACACUUGGAAACAGGUGCUAAUACCGUAUAACAAUCGAAACCGCAUGGUUUUGAUUUGAAAGGCGCUUUCGGGUGUCGCUGAUGGAUGGACCCGCGGUGCAUUAGCUAGUUGGUGAGGUAACGGCUCACCAAGGCGACGAUGCAUAGCCGACCUGAGAGGGUGAUCGGCCACAUUGGGACUGAGACACGGCCCAAACUCCUACGGGAGGCAGCAGUAGGGAAUCUUCGGCAAUGGACGAAAGUCUGACCGAGCAACGCCGCGUGAGUGAAGAAGGUUUUCGGAUCGUAAAACUCUGUUGUUAGAGAAGAACAAGGAUGAGAGUAACUGUUCAUCCCUUGACGGUAUCUAACCAGAAAGCCACGGCUAACUACGUGCCAGCAGCCGCGGUAAUACGUAGGUGGCAAGCGUUGUCCGGAUUUAUUGGGCGUAAAGCGAGCGCAGGCGGUUUCUUAAGUCUGAUGUGAAAGCCCCCGGCUCAACCGGGGAGGGUCAUUGGAAACUGGGAGACUUGAGUGCAGAAGAGGAGAGUGGAAUUCCAUGUGUAGCGGUGAAAUGCGUAGAUAUAUGGAGGAACACCAGUGGCGAAGGCGGCUCUCUGGUCUGUAACUGACGCUGAGGCUCGAAAGCGUGGGGAGCAAACAGGAUUAGAUACCCUGGUAGUCCACGCCGUAAACGAUGAGUGCUAAGUGUUGGAGGGUUCCCGCCCUUCAGUGCUGCAGCUAACGCAUUAAGCACUCCGCCUGGGGAGUACGACCGCAAGGUUGAAACUCAAAGGAAUUGACGGGGGCCCGCACAAGCGGUGGAGCAUGUGGUUUAAUUCGAAGCAACGCGAAGAACCUUACCAGGUCUUGACAUCCUUUGACCACUCUAGAGAUAGAGCUUCCCCUUCGGGGGCAAAGUGACAGGUGGUGCAUGGUUGUCGUCAGCUCGUGUCGUGAGAUGUUGGGUUAAGUCCCGCAACGAGCGCAACCCUUAUUGUUAGUUGCCAUCAUUUAGUUGGGCACUCUAGCAAGACUGCCGGUGACAAACCGGAGGAAGGUGGGGAUGACGUCAAAUCAUCAUGCCCCUUAUGACCUGGGCUACACACGUGCUACAAUGGGAAGUACAACGAGUCGCAAAGUCGCGAGGCUAAGCUAAUCUCUUAAAGCUUCUCUCAGUUCGGAUUGUAGGCUGCAACUCGCCUACAUGAAGCCGGAAUCGCUAGUAAUCGCGGAUCAGCACGCCGCGGUGAAUACGUUCCCGGGCCUUGUACACACCGCCCGUCACACCACGAGAGUUUGUAACACCCGAAGUCGGUGAGGUAACCUUUUGGAGCCAGCCGCCUAAGGUGGGAUAGAUGAUUGGGGUG